rnacentral:rRNA from 1 species
CAAUAGCGUAUAUUAAAGUUGUUGCAGUUAAAACGCUCGUAGUCGGAUUUCGGGGCGGGACGACCGGUCUGCCGAUGGGUAUGCACUGGUCGGCGCGUCCUUCCUUCCGGAGACCGUGCCUACUCUUAACUGAGCGGGGACGGGAGACGGAUCGUUUACUUUGAAAAAAUCAGAGUGUUUCAAGCAGGCAACUCGCUUUGCAUGGAUUAGCAUGGGAUAAUGAAAUAGGACUUUGGUGCUAUUUUGUUGGUUUCGAACACCGAAGUAAUGAUUAAUAGGGAUAAUUGGGGGCAUCUGUAUCAACGCGUCAGAGGUGGAAUUCUUGGAUUGCGUUGCGACAAACUACUGCGAAAGCAUUUGCCAAGGAUGUUUUCAUUGAUCAAGAACGAAAGUAAGGGGAUCGAAGACGAUUAGAUACCAU